UCAGGGUAGCUUAGUCGGUAGAGCAUGAGGCUCUGAAUUUCAGAGUUGUGGGUUUGAGCCCCACACUGGGCAAAA